GCUAAGCCGGAGAAUAUUGACUUGGCCGUGCAGUGCCUGAAUGAACUUAUAACCAAUGCACUGCACCACAUCCCAGAUGUCAUCACCUACCUUUCGAGACUCAGAAACCAGAGUGUGUUUAACUUCUGUGCUAUUCCACAGGUGAUGGCCAUUGCCACUUUGGCUGCCUGUUAUAAUAACCAGCAGGUGUUCAAAGGGGCAGUGAAGAUUCGGAAAGGGCAAGCAGUGACCCUGAUGAUGGAUGCCACCAAUAUGCCAGCUGUCAAAGCCAUCAUAUAUCAGUAUAUGGAAGAGGUGGGUUUUUAUUUAACUACUUGGAUAAUUUGUAGCUACUUUUAUGAUUUAGUAAUGUCACUGUUUAACCAGGUUUGGAUAUUAGAUGAUCCUAACAAUUCACUAUCCUAUGGCCUAAAGAGAC
rnacentral:sRNA from 1 species